ACCCACUGCUUGAUGCUGAUUUUGUCCUGUUCAAGGAUGGGAGCAGCUUCAAGGAAAAUGGGGUACACUAUGCUGGUUAUGAAGAGAUGACUCAAGAUGAAGUGGUCCAAGAAAAAACCCUCCCCACUGGAUGGUCAGCUCAGUGAGUGGGAGCUAUGAGCACUCAUACAGGCUCUCUGAAGGGCAAAAGAAAAUAGGGAAAUCAACUACUACAACAACCAUGAUUGUUACAAACAACAGUCCUCUACUAUACUUUAGAUUCCAGAGUGCUUGCUAUCCAGAUAAAGUUAUGACAGUUAAGGCCAUUGCUCCUAUUGUACUACUGAUGUAACUGAUCUUCUCUUCUGGGUGUUCAACCACAAAAGGGAAGAGACCAACACUAAAAGAAAUACAUGAGGGCAUAUACCAACCAGACAGUCACAGAACUCAUCAUGGGACAGUAUGAGACACUGUGUAAGAGGAAGAAGCACUCACCUACUGCUGCCCCCACCACAUCCAGGUUUAGCCCCAAUCUUUGCCCCUUUAUCAGCUUGAAGCAGCUCAAGAAAACAGACCUUCCCCAAUAACCAUAAAAUGAAAGCCUGGAAUGUUAGAUUUCUCUCACCUUAAGAUGGCCCUAACUAGUGAUGGCACAAGCCCCUCCUAGUGAUGUCACAAGCUCCCCCAAUCCCUAGCCACUACAUCACUCAAUCCCUCCUCAGUCCUACAAGAUGUGCUCCCUGUCUCAGCCAUAUUGCUUUCUCACCUUUGUUCGGAGACAGCCUGGCAAAUCCUCACCAUAAUAAAGGU